rnacentral:rRNA from 1 species
AACGAACGCUGGCGGCAUGCCUAACACAUGCAAGUCGAACGCCUGUAGCAAUACAGGAGUGGCAGACGGGUGCAUAACACGUGGGAACCUACCCUUGGGUUCGGAAUAACCGCGGGAAACUGCGGCUAAUACCGGAUACGUCCUGUGGGAGAAAGAUUCAUCGCCCUUGGAGGGGCCCGCGUCGGAUUAGCUAGUUGGUGAGGUAACGGCUCACCAAGGCGACGAUCCGUAGCUGAUCUGAGAGGAUGAUCAGCCACACUGGAACUGAGACACGGUCCAGACUCCUACGGGAGGCAGCAGUGGGGAAUAUUGGACAAUGGGCGCAAGCCUGAUCCAGCAAUGCCGCGUGGGUGAUGAAGGCCUUCGGUUGUAAGCCUUUGGUCAG